AAACCAUAAUGAAGGCACCUUCUCAAUAAGCCCUUGUAUCUCUUCCAUGCAUCAUAAAGUGUUUCUAAAUCCAUCUGCACAAAAGAAGAAAUAUCAUUCCUUAAUUU
rfam:Gossypium arboreum cultivar AKA8401 contig_97556_1, whole genome shotgun sequence.